rnacentral:lncRNA from 1 species
AAAAGCAGCUCUUGAGCCAUUUCAAACAGAUCAUGAGGCAGAUUCAGAUGAGGAAGAGGAGGGCGAGUGUAAAAAACUAACUUCAGAUUCUGAAUGUGAGGAACAGAAACCGGAGGAAAUCAAAGAAAGGGAAACCGAAAAAGGUCCUAAUAAGAGAUGAAGAACAAUGAAGAUAUCGUGAAAAAUAUUUUGCUUCCCUGCCUUCAUACAAUCCUCUAACAGUCAAAAAUGUAUCUGCAGCGCCCAGUAAGGCCAACUGAUGACUCAAACACAACCCCCCAAGGGUGUCCUUAUGCCCUUCCAUUGCUUAAAAUAAAGAGCUCGGGGGUCACUUACGGAAAUCAAUGGGCCUGCCCAUGGCUGCUCAUGGAACAAUCGGCUAGCGUUUCCUCCCCUCUGAGAUCCAUAAAAGCCGGCAGCUCAGCCAGAGCAGGGCAGAGGGCAGAGGACAGAGAGAUGAUGGGAUGACCCGCUGCAGAGAGGAGCUACCCUCCUGCUGAGAGCUUCAGAGACCUGCAGAGACUUCCAAAUGAUCUGCCUGCAGAGAUGAGCCACGCUUUCCAGGGCUUUCUCUCUGCUGAGAGCUGAGUACUUGAGGAGAGGGCCUGCCUAGGAGCCGACCUGACUACAGAGAGGAGCUGCCCACUGUGGGUCUCUUCUGUUCUAACACUAAAUAAAGCUCCUCUUUAUCUUCUUCACCCUUCACCUGUCUGCAUACUUUAUUCUUUA